GGAUCCAGACUUUGAUUCUGGCUCAGGAUGAACGCUAGCUACAGGCUUAACACAUGCAAGUCGAGGGGCAGCAUGAACUUAGCUUGCUAAGUUUGAUGGCGACCGGCGCACGGGUGAGUAACACGUAUCCAACCUUCCGUUUACUCAGGGAUAGCCUUUCGAAAGAAAGAUUAAUACCUGAUAGUAUGGUGAGAUUGCAUGAUAGCACCAUUAAAGAUUCAUUGGUAAACGAUGGGGAUGCGUUCCAUUAGGUAGUAGGCGGGGUAACGGCCCACCUAGCCUACGAUGGAUAGGGGUUCUGAGAGGAAGGUCCCCCACAUUGGAACUGAGACACGGUCCAAACUCCUACGGGAGGCAGCAGUGAGGAAUAUUGGUCAAUGGGCGCGAGCCUGAACCAGCCAAGUAGCGUGAAGGAUGAAGGUCCUACGGAUUGUAAACUUCUUUUAUAAGGGAAUAAAGUCGCCUACGUGUAGGCGUUUGUAUGUACCUUAUGAAUAAGCAUCGGCUAACUCCGUGCCAGCAGCCGCGGUAAUACGGAGGAUGCGAGCGUUAUCCGGAUUUAUUGGGUUUAAAGGGAGCGUAGACGGAGGAUUAAGUCAGUUGUGAAAGUUUGCGGCUCAACCGUAAAAUUGCAGUUGAUACUGGUCCCCUUGAGUGCAGUUGAGGCAGGCGGAAUUCGUGGUGUAGCGGUGAAAUGCUUAGAUAUCACGAAGAACCCCGAUUGCGAAGGCAGCCUGCUAAGCUGUAACUGACGUUGAUGCUCGAAAGUGUGGGUAUCAAACAGGAUUAGAUACCCUGGUAGUCCACACGGUAAACGAUGGAUACUCGCUGUUGGCGAUAUACUGUCAGCGGCCAAGCGAAAGCAUUAAGUAUCCCACCUGGGGAGUACGCCG
rnacentral:rRNA from 1 species